UAAUACUCCAUAGAUCAUGGGAUCUGGAAUGACCCAUGGUUGAAAGUUCCGGCGCUUAAGGAUCGCUCUGCGGCUUAUCAGGUUGUAGUGGGUGUAACGUACCCCCUAGCCAGUGACGAGUAUGGGCCUUGAGAGAGGGAGCCCAGAGUUGGAUUCUGAGACACGAAUCCAGGCCCUACGGGGCGCAGCAGUCGCGAAAACUUCACACUGGGGGCAACCCCGAUGAGGGAAUUCCUAGUGCUAGGACAUUUGUUCUAGCUUUUCUCUAGCGUAGAUAACUAGAGGAAUAAGGGCUGGGUAAGACGGGUGCCAGCCGCCGCGGUAAUACCUGCAGCCCAAGUGGUGGUCGAUUUUAUUGAGUCUAAAGCGUUCGUAGCCGGUUUGAUAAUCCUUGGGUAAAUCGGGAAGCUUAACUUUCCGACUUCCGAGGAGACUGUCAAACUUGGGACCGGGAGAGGCUAGAGGUACUUCUGGGGUAGGGGUAAAAUCCUGUAAUCCUAGAAGGACCACCGGUGGCGAAGGCGUCUAGCUAGAACGGAUCCGACGGUGAGGGACGAAGCCCUGGGUCGCAAACGGGAUUAGAUACCCCGGUAGUCCAGGGUGUAACGCUGCCGACUUGGUGU
rnacentral:rRNA from 1 species